rnacentral:rRNA from 1 species
AUUGAACGCUGGCGGAAUGCUUUACACAUGCAAGUCGAACGGCAGCACGGGAGCUUGCUCCUGUUGUCGAGUGGCGAACGGGUGAGUAACAUAUCGGAACGUACCCAGUCGCGGGGGAUAACUAUCCGAAAGGAUAGCUAAUACCGCAUACGUCCUGAGGGAGAAAGCGGGGGAUCGCAAGACCUCGCGCGAUUGGAGCGGCCGAUAUCGGAUUAGCUAGUUGGUGGGGUAAAGGCUCACCAAGGCGACUAUCCGUAGCGGGUGUGAGAGAACGACCCGCCACACUGGAACUGAGACACGGUCCAGACUCCUACGGGAGGCAGCAGACGGGAAUGGUGGACAAUGGGGGCAACUCUGAUACAGUCAUUCCGCGUGAGUGAAGAAGGCCUUCGGGUUGUAAAGCUCUUUCAGGAGGAACGAAACGGUCGGCUUUAAUAAAAUCGGCUAGUGACGGUACCUGCAGAAGAAGCACCGGCUAACUACGUG